rnacentral:rRNA from 1 species
GCCUAACAUCUAGCCCACACUACCCCCAUGAACCUUUUCUACACCCUCCCGUACACAACAAAACAUUUUAUCUCUUUAGUACAGGCGAUCGAAAAACUUAUAGGCGCUUCAGAUUAAGUACCGCAAGGGAAAGAUGAAAUAAAAAUGAAAUAACUUUAAAGCCCCAAAUAGCAGAGAUAUACCCUCGUACCUUUUGCAUCAUGGUCUAGCCAGUUUAACCAAGCAAAAUGUGAACUUUAGUUUGACACCCCGAAACUAAGUGAGCUACUUCGAAACAGCCCUAAGGGGCCAACCCGUCUCUGUUGCAAAAGAGUGGGAAGAUUUUCAAGUAGAGGUGACAAGCCUACCGAACUUAGAGAUAGCUGGUUAUUCAGGAGAAGAGUCUUAGCUCUGCCUUAAGUUUUCUUAUUAACUCAAACAAAUCUUUAAACUUAAGAGUUAUUCAAGUAAGGUUCAGCUUACUUGAAACAGGAUACAACCUCCAAUAUUGGGUAAAUAAGGGGAACCUAGAUAAAGUGGGCCUAAAAGCAGCCACCUUAUAAAAAGCGUUAAAGCUUAAUCACCAAUUCACCCAUAAUUCCUUGAUUCCUUAUUAACCCCUCAUCCCUACUGAAUCAUUUUAUACUAUUAUAAAAAUUAUUAUGCUAGAACUAGUAACAAGAAACUGCCUUUCUCCUGAAUGUCAGCCAGAACCGAAAUAAACCCUAUCGGUAUUUAACGUAUAUGCUCUAACUAUAGUAACCCGCAACUAGAAAACCCUAUUAUUUUCAACGUCAACCUUACACUAGAACAUUACAGGAAAGAUAAAAGAAAGAGAAGA